UACGAAGGUGGCAAGCGUUGUUCGGAAUCACUGGGCUUAAAGCGCGCGCAGGCGGAAAUACAGGUGUCAUGUGAAAGCCCUCGGCUUAACCGAGGAAUUGCGCGGCAAACGGUAUUUCUUGAGGCAAGUAGGGGUACAUGGAACUCUUGGUGGAGCGGUGGAAUGCGUAGAUAUCAAGAGGAACGCCAAAGGUGAAGACAGUGUACUGGGCUUGUCCUGACGCUGAGGUGCGAAAGCGUGGGGAGCGAACGGGAUUAGAUACCCCCGUA
rnacentral:rRNA from 1 species